GGCAGUCUGGUCUAGUGGUUUGACUGUCGGACUAUGACUUUGGAGACCAGGGUUCAAAUCCCUGCUUGGCCA